rnacentral:rRNA from 1 species
UACGGGGGGGGCAAGCGUUGUUCGGAAUUACUGGGCGUAAAGGGCGCGUAGGCGGCUUAUCAAGUCAGGCGUGAAAUUCCCGGGCUCAACCUGGGGGCUGCGCUUGAUACUGCUUGGCUUGAAUGCGGGAGAGGAUAGUGGAAUUCCCAGUGUAGAGGUGAAAUUCGUAGAUAUUGGGAAGAACACCGGUGGCGAAGGCGGCUAUCUGGCCCGUAAUUGACGCUGAGGCGCGAAAGCGUGGGGAGCAAACAGG